rnacentral:rRNA from 1 species
GGCCUAACACAUGCAACGUCGAACGGUGGCAGGAGUAAGCUUGCUGCUUCGCUGACGAGUGGCGGACGGGUGAGUAAUGUCUGGGAAACUGCCUGAUGGAGGGGGAUAACUACUGGAAACGGUGGCUAAUACCGCAUAACGUCGCAAGACCAAAGAGGGGGACCUUCGGGCCUCUUGCCAUCAGAUGUGCCCAGAUGGGAUUAGCUUGUUGGUGAGGUAACGGCUCACCAAGGCGACGAUCCCUAGCUGGUCUGAGAGGAUGACCAGCCACACUGGAACUGAGACACGGUCCAGACUCCUACGGGAGGCAGCAGUGGGGAAUAUUGCACAAUGGGCGCAAGCCUGAUGCAGCCAUGCCGCGUGUAUGAAGAAGGCCUUCGGGUUGUAAAGUACUUUCAGCGGGGAGGAAGGUGUUGUGGUUAAU